GACGAACGCUGGCGGCGUGCUUAACACAUGCAAGUCGAACGGUGAAAGAAGAGCUUGCUCUUCUGGAUCAGUGGCGAACGGGUGAGUAACACGUGAGUAACCUGCCCCAGACUCUGGAAUAAGCGCUGGAAACGGCGUCUAAUACCGGAUACGAGACAUAGCUGCAUGGCUACUGUCUGGAAAGUUGUGCGGUCUGGGAUGGUCUCGCGGCCUAUCAGCUUGUUUGUGAGGUAACGGCUCACCAAGGCAACGACGGGUAGCCGGCCUGAGAGGGCGACCGGCCACACUGGGACUGAGACACGGCCCAGACUCCUACGGGAGGCAGCAGUGGGGAAUAUUGCACAAUGGGCGAAAGCCUGAUGCAGCGACGCCGCGUGAGGGAUGACGGCCUUCGGGUUGUAAACCUCUGUCAGCAGGGAAGAAGCGAAAGUGACGGUACCUGCAGAAGAAGCACCGGCUAACUACGUG
rnacentral:rRNA from 1 species